rnacentral:lncRNA from 1 species
UGGAUGUUCUCUCUUUAUGCAUAAGAUGUAAUUAGUAAAAAUCCUGUGAACAUAAUCUAAGUAUUAAAUUUUUUCUUUCUUUAAAGAGAUUUCCUUAGAGUAUUAGUGCAUAAUAGGUCAAAAAUAUAAAUUUUUUUUCAGGUAUAUUGUAUUAUAAUGAGAUAAAUAAAUGAUUUUCUCGAAUCCCUGUGGGUGAAUGUUGCUGGUAGCUGGAAUGAGAGAAUAAUAGUAAAUCAGCAAGCAUUCCAGUGUUUUAAAGAGGGUAAGCCUUGCAAAGCAUAUUCAUAUCAGUAUUGUAGUAGGAACAAGAGAAGUUUGUUUGUUUGUUUGCUUUUUUACGAGAACGC